UACGUAGGGGGCAAGCGUUGUCCGGAUUUAUUGGGCGUAAAGAGCGUGUAGGCGGCCAGGUAGGUCAGCUGUGAAAACUCGAGGCUCAACCUCGAGCUGUCGGCCGAAACCAUCUGGCUAGAGUCCGGAAGAGGAGAAUGGAAUUCCCGGUGUAGCGGUGAAAUGCGCAGAUAUCGGGAAGAACACCCGUGGCGAAGGCGGUUCUCUGGGACGGUACUGACGCUGAGACGCGAAAGCGUGGGGAGCGAACAGG
rnacentral:rRNA from 1 species